UAGGGAAUCUUCGGCAAUGGACGGAAGUCUGACCGAGCAACGCCGCGUGAGUGAAGAAGGUUUUCGGAUCGUAAAGCUCUGUUGUUAGAGAAGAACGUUGGUAGGAGUGGAAAAUCUACCAAGUGACGGUAACUAACCAGAAAGGGACGGCUAACUACGUGCCAGCAGCCGCGGUAAUACGUAGGUCCCGAGCGUUGUCCGGAUUUAUUGGGCGUAAAGCGAGCGCAGGCGGUUCUUUAAGUCUGAAGUUAAAGGCAGUGGCUUAACCAUUGUACGCUUUGGAAACUGGAGGACUUGAGUGCAGAAGGGGGGAGUGGAAUUCCAUGUGUAGCGGUGAAAUGCGUAGAUAUAUGGAGGAACACCGGUGGCGAAAGCGGCUCUCUGGUCUGUAACUGACGCUGAGGCUCGAAAGCGUGGGGAGCAAGCAGG
rnacentral:rRNA from 1 species